AAGUCGUAACAAGGUUUCCGUAGGUGAACCUGCGGAAGGAUCAUUAACACGUAUCCAACGUUAAACAACCCCGUGAACCUUCAGCCUGCUCUCGUAGCCCACGCGGCAACAGCAAUCCCGGUAAAUCAUUGACGAACAGUUUUGAUUCGGGACCUCUGUUACGAUGUGAGAAGUUACAGUUACGAUUGAGCGGAGAUAGCUGCAUGGCAUCCCGAAGCAGUCAGUGUCUGAAAGUGUCAUUGAUUGUCUAAGGAUCUCGCCUCAACGAUUGCCAGAGGUCGCUCACCGACCGGCAGACAUGCAACCGGGUCCCCACGCCCCUUUACAACCCCAUUACCUCUGUGAGUCGCGGGAAACUAGCGGCUAAAAAACCUCGAACAACUGUUAACAAUGGAUAUCUUGGUUCUC
rnacentral:misc_RNA from 1 species